rnacentral:rRNA from 1 species
UAAUACGAAGGGGGCUAGCGUUGUUCGGAAUUACUGGGCGUAAAGCGCGCGUAGGCGGGUAUUUAAGUCAGGGGUGAAAUCCCAGAGCUCAACUCUGGAACUGCCUUUGAUACUGGGUACCUAGAGUCCGGAAGAGGUGAGUGGAAUUGCGAGUGUAGAGGUGAAAUUCGUAGAUAUUCGCAGGAACACCAGUGGCGAAGGCGGCUCACUGGUCCGGUACUGACGCUGAGGUGCGAAAGCGUGGGGAGCAAACAGG